UCUAAUGUGGCAGAUAAUAAUGCAACAAAUUUAAGAUUUGUAUAUAAAUAUUAAUAUUUUUUUAGAA
rnacentral:tRNA from 1 species